rnacentral:rRNA from 1 species
UACGUAGGCAGCAAGCGUUGUUCGGAGUUACUGGGCGUAAAGGGUGUGUAGGCGGUUCUUAAGUUUGGUGUGAAAUCUCCCGGCUCAACCGGGAGGGUGCGCCGAAUACUGAGGGACUCGAGUGCGGGAGAGGAAAGUGGAAUUCCUGGUGUAGCGGUGAAAUGCGUAGAUAUCAGGAGGAACACCGGUGGUGUAGACGGCUUUCUGGACCGUAACUGACGCUGAGACACGAAAGCGUGGGUAGCAAACAGG